GACGGAGGGUGCAAGCGUUGUUCGGAAUUACUGGGCGUAAAGGGCGCGUAGGCGGUCUGUUAAGUUCGGUGUGAAAGCCCCCGGCUCACCUGGGGAACUGCGCCGGAAACCGACAGACUCGAGUACCGGAGAGGAGGGUGGAAUUCCUGGUGUAGCGGUGAAAUGCGUAGAUAUCAGGAGGAACACCGGUGGCGAAGGCGGCCCUCUGGACGGAUACUGACGCUGAGGUGCGAAAGCGUGGGGAGCAAACAGG
rnacentral:rRNA from 1 species